UCCGGUUUGCAAGCAAAACCCUAUGUAAAGUUUUGAGGUAUAGAUUCACAUGGCUACUGGUACCGUUAAAUGGUUCAACGAGUCCAAGGGGUUCGGUUUCAUCUCCCAGGACGACGGUGGUGCGGACGUAUUCGUUCACUUCAGCGCGAUCCAAGGCUCCGGGUUCCGUACCCUGGCUGAAGGUCAAAAAGUUUCCUUCGAUAUCCAGCAGGGCCCGAAAGGCCCGCAGGCAGCUAACGUAGAAGCCGGCUAAGGCUUCUUAGUACGCUGGAAAGCCCCGCCUCGCGCGGGGUUUUCAUA
rnacentral:other from 1 species